rnacentral:rRNA from 1 species
UACGUAGGGAGCUAGCGUUGUCCGGAAUCAUUGGGCGUAAAGCGCGCGUAGGCGGCCCGGUAAGUCCGCUGUGAAAGUCAAAGGCUCAACCUUUGAAUGUCAGCGGAUACUGCCGGGCUAGAGUCCGGAAGAGGCGAGUGGAACUCCUGGUGUAGCGGUGGAAUGCGCAGAUAUCAGGAAGAACACCAACGGCGAAGGCAGCUCGCUGGGACGGAACUGACGCUAAGGAGCGAAAGCGUGGGGAGCGAACAGG